rnacentral:lncRNA from 10 species
GCAUUUGAUCAUAAAAGGACAAGAGAGAAGAAGUGGUUAUAAGAUGUCAACAUUUGUUUCCAGUUCCCGUCAGAGACAAAGAAACACAAACCCAAGGAUUGAAUCACUUGGUGGUCCAGUAAAAGAAUGCAUUCUCCUCAGCUAUCUGGAGGUAAAGUAGUUUAAACACUUCUUUGGUUCUCAUCUGUCUCCUAUUAUGCUCCCCUAAUCACGUUCUGGUCUUGACCAUUAGCAACCCUAUGCUCCAUUCUCUUUGCUUCUUUCUAUUUAUUUGUCCUGUAUAAAUUUCUAGAUUACAGUGACAUGCCUUUGAAUCAAGAGCGCUGAAAUGGUAGGAGCAAAGGCAAAAAGAAGAGAUGCACCAAUAUAAAAUAUAAUAUAAUAUAAAACAAAAUCAAGAGAGAGAAUGCUAAAUCAGAGCAAAAGCAGAAUUGUGGGCAGGCUCAGGCCACAUCUCCAAACAAACAUUAAGUUCUUUGAGCCUGUCCAGGGAGUAAUGCAAAAACAAGCAAUGGAGAAGAUGGGAACUACUAGAGAUUGAAAAUAAAAGCAUAUACUAGUAUACCAGUAGACAAAGUGAAAAUUGUUGUUUUGGCUUGAUCUCUUUUAAAUGAGAUGUGAGAGGUGAACUAACAAUAUGAACUAAAUCCUUUUCCUAAAAGGAGUAUUGGGUUGUUCUUUUGAAAACUGGUAUCCAUGAUUGGAUCUAUCCAUGAUUGAACUAAGCAGGCACAACUUGAUUCUCUUGUAUCUGAAUUAAGAUAAAAACAAUUACAUCGAUUGCUGGUGACAAACAUUGCCCCUGGGAGAUAUUUAGACUCAGAUAUGAGGUCCACACAAAUUAAUAUAAAAUAUCC